UACGUUCCCUUCUCAUUAACAUUCCCAUGAACUUCAAACAUUAAGUGAGAUUUUUGUUCCACUUCAUCAGGGUUUUUCUACACAUGGUAUGGCCUUUGAAGUUAAUUGGAGCCCUCCAUGUUAAAGCAAGAUGAGAAUUAAGAGUGAAAGCAAGCCCUGGCAUCACUAUCACAGAACUUGUGAUAACCUCGAUUGCAAGACCAGACAAGUUCUAACCACUGUACAGAGAGCUCUGCCUACAGGCUGAGAGGAGCCAUGGAAGGUUUAUAAGCAGAAACCAGGGCCAUGUUAUCAAAAAGUGACCCCAUAACCUAUGGGCCACCCUACCCAGCAGAGAGCCUGUCAAAGCCCUCAGAAGGUGCUCAGUCACUAUCAGAUAUCCACAAGAAGGUAGGUGUCUUCACUGAAUCUCUGAACUGCCUAAAGAGCCCCUUCUCUUCUGGAGCCCAGGAGAUGGCAUAGAGCACACCCCAUUUUCCCUAAAACCACAGGCAGCUCCAGAAUGCCUGCACUGAAGCAAGUUAAAAGUGGAAAUAUGACAAGAAAGUAAGAGUAGGAAAGGGAUUUAAGAUUGUGUUUUAAAAGUCAUAGUUGCAGACCAGGAACACUAUUUUUAUUGUGUGCUUAUUUGGAGUGGCACAUAGGGGUUUUCAGAGAUAAUAAAAC
rnacentral:lncRNA from 1 species